CUCACCUAAACACGCGAUAUAAAUUCAGGAUCGGCCGCCCAUUCGACCGGCCGUGAUUCGGUCAGGAUUCGACAUCGUGGGUCAACGACGUCUCUUCUCCUCAAGGAACAACACGAUACACGUAUACACAUAUAGAGCGAGAAAAAAGAAAGAGAGAGCAUUGGUUGGUCGAGAUAAAGUAUCGUUACGCGAGAAAACGACUGACGAGCUUAUGCAACUCGGCACCCGUGUCGAUAUUACGACUACGAGGCGAAUAACAAACCCAAUGUUUCCCACGAAUCUAUACGUGACGAAUCAAAUGUUAAUCUUCCAAUGUCAAGAUUCAACACGUAUGGAGGAGUAAGAAAUCCUCCAAUUUAAGGGACUUUCAGGGGCUUCAACUUAACGAAAAUAUACGCGCUAGCGAGCUAGAUGGCGCUGCAGUCAAGUACACCUUUCUCGAAGGGAGAAGGGCUACGAGGCCGAUCGUCUUUUGUCUUAAGCCGCUCUAUAUUAAUGUGAAGAACAUGCCAUGUCGAAGCAGGUUGCCGUGGGAGGAUGGCCGUGGACGGUUAGGCGUGGAAAAGAGGGCUGUCAGCACGUAGAAUACUAAACAGCAGCGAACCUGGGGCUGCAUAGGUGGCGCUAGUCUCAUUCGACCAAGCCUUUGCAUUUUAACUGCCUUUCAAGCUCGAGAAAAGACCUCGUGCAGAUCUUUGGCAGACAGUAACUUUGGAUAGCUACUCUGUACAUGUGUUUGUUGCGAAAGAAAGAGAAUUAUGAUCUCUUGAAAGAAGAUACAUAGUGUCAGAUGUUGAGGAGACACAAUAAUUUUUAAAUCUUAAAUCGGAAUUAAUAUCGGAGGAAGGCAUUGAAGAACGACAUCGGAUGAAGCAAUGAUGAGUAAAUACCAACGAAUUCGGUUGGAUAGCUCAUUAAUUUUCGAUGAGAGUAGAGGAAUCACAUACGUGACAUGCAUGAACACAUUUUUCACGCUUUUCUCCAAACACCAGGCGGUCUUUGAGAAAGUGUUUUCUUUGAAAAAUUGAAAGAGGCAAACCUUGUCCACUGAAGGCUUUAAUAAUAAAUUUAAGAAUCUCCAAGAGAGUUAAAUCUUUCGGUUCAACCCUUUGAAAACAUUGAUGUGUUAAAAGUGAUUACCUGUAUCGGCCAUCGAGAAGAAAAACAUUACACGCCAAGAGAUCAUCCUGAUACGAUUUACAUGAAACGUUAUGGAUGUUAUCUAUAAGUCGUGAUUUUGAACGUCCAUUAACCUUAGGUGUUUAGAAAAGCGAUAAAUGAUGGGAGAGCGGUUAUGGCCUGAUUUGGCGGAAAGGGAGGUGUAUUUGUUCGGCGAGAGUAAACAAUCCGUCUAGAGACCCAUUUCCGCUUGAUCGAAAAUAGUCGCACGGAGAAAGGGUUGCGAUGGAAAAGCACAAUAAUCGAUUUUUUAGGUUUACAAGAGAGCAACAAGAAUAAUGAAAGAAUAUUAUAAAAAUAAGACACAAUUAGCAAAGAUUCUAAUUUAAGAGAGACAGGAUAUAAUGAAAUCAUAGGAAAACCAAAAAACCGCAAACAUCUAAAAGGAAAAGUAAAAUAAUGAUGAGGAUAAUCCACAUCCUGUUGAUAUCGAAUUUUGCCUUUAUUUCAAUUCAGAGUAUCCGUUGGCCAAAUUAGGACAAUCUUGGAUAUCAAAUAUUUGUGACUAAAAGCCGAAAAUAUUCCGUCCUAAAUAUUCACAAUUUAGGAAUCACGUUAACCCGAAAAAAAUUAGUUUUCCCUUUUGAAACACAUGGUUAAUAAGCCGACCAACCGUCCAUGAAGAAUAUUCUUGGUGAAGUUGAAUUCCAUUUGCCGGAAGUCUGU